UACGAAGGGGGGCUAGCGUUGCUCGGAAUCACUGGGCGUAAAGAGCUCGUAGGCGGCUUGUCGCGUCGACGUGUGAAAACCCCGGGGCUCAACCCCGGGCUUGCGGGUCGAUACGGGCAGGCUGGAGUUCGGUGAGGGGAGACGUGGAAUUCCUGGUGUAGCGGUGAAAUGCGCAGAUAUCAGGAGGAACACCGGUGGCGAAGGCGGGUCUCUGGGCCGAUACUGACGCUGAGGAGCGAAAGCGUGGGGAGCGAACAGG
rnacentral:rRNA from 1 species